GAUUAACGCUGGCGGCGUGCAUAACACAUGCAAGUCGAACGAUGAAACUUAAAUGAUUUCUUCGGAAUGAACUUAAGUGGAUUAGUGGCGGACGGGUGAGUAACGCGUGAGUAACCUGCCUUACACAAGGGGAUAGCCGUUGGAAACGACGAAUAAUACCCUAUGAAACUAUCACUUCGCAUGAAGCGAUAGUCAAAGUGUUAGCGGUGUAAGAUGGACUUGCGUCUGAUUAGCUAGUUGGUGAGAAAAAAGCCCACCAAGGCAACGAUCAGUAGCCGGCUUGAGAGGGUGGACGGCCACAUUGGGACUGAGACAAGGCCCAGACACCUACGGGAGGCAGCAGUGGGGAAUUUUGCACAAUGGGGGAAACCCUGAUGCAGCGACGCCGCGUGAUUUAGAAGGCCUUCGGGUUGUAAAAAUCUUUUGUAUAGGAAGAAAAUGACAGUACUAUACGAAUAAGGUCCGGCUAAUUACGUG
rnacentral:rRNA from 1 species